GCCUGGCUGGCUUAGCUGGUAUAGCAUGUGACUCUAGCUCUCAGGGUCUUGAGUUCAAGCCCCACGUUGGGCA
rnacentral:tRNA from 1 species